rnacentral:rRNA from 1 species
UACAGAGGUCCCAAGCGUUGUUCGGAUUCACUGGGCGUAAAGGGUGCGUAGGUGGCAUGGCAAGUUUGAUGUGAAAGCUCAGGGCUUAACCCUGAAAUGGCAUUGAAUACUGCUGUGCUGGAGGUUUGGAGGGGGGACUGGAAUUCUUGGUGUAGCAGUGAAAUGCGUAGAUAUCAAGAGGAACACCAGUGGCGAAGGCGAGUCCCUGGACAACACCUGACACUGAGGCACGAAAGCCGGGGGAGCAAACAGG